rnacentral:rRNA from 1 species
UACAGAGGGGGCAAGCGUUGUUCGGAAUUACUGGGCGUAAAGGGCGCGUAGGCGGCCUUCUAAGUCGAACGUGAAAUCCCCGGGCUCAACCCGGGAACUGCGUCCGAAACUGGCAUGCUUGAAUCCGGGAGAGGGAUGUGGAAUUCCAGGUGUAGCGGUGAAAUGCGUAGAUAUCUGGAGGAACAUCGGUGGCGAAGGCGGCAUCCUGGACCGGUAUUGACGCUGAGGCGCGAAAGCCAGGGGAGCAAACGGG